rnacentral:rRNA from 1 species
GACGAACGCUGGCGGCGUGCCUAAUACAUGCAAGUAGGACGCAGUUGCGAACGGGUGAGUAACGCGUAGGUAACUACCUAUUAGAGGGGGAUAACUAUUGGAAACGAUAGCUAAUACCGCAUACUAGUAGAUGGACCUGCGUUGUAUUAGCUAGUAGGUAGGGUAAUGGCCUACCUAGGCAACGAAACCAAGCCGACCCGUGGGGGUCGUCGGCCACACUGGGACUGGGAAACGGCCCAGACUCCUACAGGAUGCAGCAGGAGGGAAUCUUCGGCAAUUGGGGGAACCCUGACCGAGCAACGCCGCGGGAGUUAAGAAGGUUUUCGGAUCGUAAAGCUCUGUUGUUAAGGAAGCGGUACUUAACCAGAAAGGGACGGCUAACUACGUGCCAGCAGCCGCGGUAAUAC